GAUGAACGCUGGCGGCGUGCCUAAUACAUGCAAGUCGAGCGAACAGACGAGGAGCUUGCUCCUCUGACGUUAGCGGCGGACGGGUGAGUAACACGUGGAUAACCUACCUAUAAGACUGGGAUAACUUCGGGAAACCGGAGCUAAUACCGGAUAAUAUAUUGAACCGCAUGGUUCAAUAGUGAAAGACGGUUUUGCUGUCACUUAUAGAUGGAUCCGCGCCGCAUUAGCUAGUUGGUAAGGUAACGGCUUACCAAGGCAACGAUGCGUAGCCGACCUGAGAGAGUGAUCGCCCACACUGGAGCGGAGACACGGACCAGACGCCUACGGGAGGCAGCAGUAGGGAAUGUUACGCAGUGGGCGAAAGCCUGACGGAGCAACGCCGCGUGAGUGAUGAAGGUCUUCGGAUCGUAAAACUCUGUUAUGAGGGAAGAACAAAUGUGUAAGUAACUAUGCACGUCUUGACGGUACCUAAUCAGAAAGCCACGGCUAACUACGUG
rnacentral:rRNA from 1 species